rnacentral:rRNA from 1 species
CUACGGGAUGCUCCAGUGAGGAAUAUUGCGCAAUGAGCGAAAGCUAGACGCAGCAACGCCGCGUGAGCGAAGAAGGCCUUCGGGUUGUAAAGCUCUUUUCUGUGUGAAGAGAAGGACGGUAGCACAGGAAUAAGUGUCGGCUAACUACGUGCCAGCAGCCGCGGUAAAACGUAGGACGCAAGCGUUAUCCGGAUUUACUGGGCGUAAAGCGCGUGCAGGCGGUCAGUUAAGUUAUGCGUGAAAGCUCCCGGCUCAACCGGGAGAGGUCGUAUAAAACUGAUUGACUUGAAGGCAGCAGAGGCGUGUGGAAUUCCAGGUGUAGUGGUGAUAUGCGUAGAUAUCUGGAGGAACACCAGUGGCGAAGGCGACACGCUGGGCUGUACUUGACGCUAAGACGCGAAAGCGUGGGUAGCGAACGGGAUUAGAUACCCUAGUAGUC